UCUGGCUCAAAAGCGACGUUUUAAUGCAUUAAAAGAACAGUUCUUCGCAGUGAUAUUUGCUAAUAUAUUGUUUACAAACACGCGCCGUAGGUCUAUAUGAACAACUGGAGUUACACUUUGUGCUCAUCCGACAAACAUUGCACUCUAGGUAUAUGAAUGUGUCUAGCCCGCGAACGGGCUAGCCACAAAAACGAAGUGCAGGUAGACCAACAUGUCACGAAACCCUAUCCAAACUAGACAAUGAAAACCAAGAGAUCAUAACAUCCAAAGAAUUAAUCCUAUACACAUUGGACGGAAGGGAAAAAAAGAAAAAGACUGUACUAACACGCAGUAAAGAAAACAUAAAACUUUACAACAUGAAACAUUUUGGUUGUUAUGAAUACAUCACUGAAGAAUGUCAGAAAACCUUAGACAUCAUUAAAGAACAAAAAAAAAAAUUAGAAAAAACUCCUAUACAUGGAGAAAAUGUUAGAAAAAAAAAUUUUUGGUGAAAAAUCCUGUAAAUAGAAUAACUAAAUCUUUUUAAUAAAUCUUCAACUCAAACUAAAAACGAUGUAAUUUCUAUACUCAAAAAACACACAUACCCAUAAAUCACCCCAAAUACCCUCUCUCACACAUAUUUCCAGUGCAACUGACCGCAACACGUUCCCAUUGGCAGGCGUCGCAGACCAAUCGUGUGCGUCAAUUACAUCACGGCAAAUAAAAUGCCGCACACUUUCAAAUCCCAUCAGUUCGGUCGACCAAUGCUUUGGG